rfam:Picea glauca, whole genome shotgun sequence.
GGGUGCGAUCAUACCAAUGUUAAUGCAACGGAUCCCAUUAGAACUCCGCAGUUAAGCGUGGUUGGGCUAUAGUAGUACUGGGAUGGGUGACCUCCAAGGAAGUCAUAGUGUUGCACCCU